UACGUAGGUGGCGAGCGUUAUCCGGAAUUAUUGGGCGUAAAGGGUGCGUAGGCGGCUUAUUAAGUCUGUGGUGAAAGUGCGGGGCUCAACCCCGUAUGGCCACAGAAACUGAUCGACUAGAGUACAGGAGAGGGCAGUGGAAUUCCAUGUGUAGCGGUAAAAUGCGUAGAUAUAUGGAGGAACACCGGUGGCGAAGGCGGCUGCCUGGCCUGUAACUGGACGCUGAGGCACGAAAGCGUGGGGAGCAAAUAGG
rnacentral:rRNA from 1 species